CGCACGGGGGAUAGUUUGUGUGGCGUCGAGCUCUUUUGUUCCAGAUGUUGUCGUCUGUGACUAUUCCGCUAGCGGUUAGAGUUUUGUAGAAGAGAGUAUCGCGUCCGCAGGGACGCGGGACUUCUCUGCAGAAGCCGCGCCUUGAUCUCCAGCCAAGAGCAUCACUUGCACUUCAUCCUCCUGAGGAUGUCCUCCUCACCCUGUGUCCACUUAGUCUGGUGUGGCCCACUGCUGCUGAUCUGUUUAUCAUAUCUUGGAUUGCAGCCAUCCUUCUGAGAGGCCAGAUGCACUGAAGGGAAGAUCAUUGCUGAUGAGAUUGAAUUGAUGAGAAGCUGAAAGAGCUUGAUCACAACAGAUACUGACAACUUCAUUACUUGCUUUGAAGAAAGUAUUAAUACUGAGAG
rnacentral:sRNA from 1 species